rnacentral:rRNA from 1 species
CCUGGCAGUACCGUAGCGCGGUGGUCCCACCUGACCCCAUGCCGAACUCAGAAGUGAAACGCCGUAGCGCCGAUGGUAGUGUGGGUCUCCCCAUGCGAGAGUAGGGAACUGCCAGGC